rnacentral:rRNA from 1 species
UGGGGAAUAUUGCACAAUGGGCGCAAGCCUGAUGCAGCCAUGCCGCGUGUAUGAAGAAGGCCUUCGGGUUGUAAAGUGCUUUCAGUCGGGAGGAAGGUGUCAAGGUUAAUAACCUUGGCAAUUGACGUUACCGACAGAAGAAGCACCGGCUAACUCCGUGCCAGCAGCCGCGGUAAUACGGAGGGUGCAAGCGUUAAUCGGAAUUACUGGGCGUAAAGCGCACGCAGGCGGUUUGUUAAGUCAGAUGUGAAAUCCUCGGGCUCAACCUGGGAACUGCAUCUGAUACUGGCAAGCUUGAGUCUCGUAGAGGGGGGUAGAAUUCCAGGUGUAGCGGUGAAAUGCGUAGAGAUCUGGAGGAAUACCGGUGGCGAAGGCGGCCCCCUGGACGAAGACUGACGCUCAGGUGCGAAAGCGUGGGGAGCAAACAGG